rnacentral:sRNA from 1 species
GCUAUGGUGUGGUGGCGCACACCUGUAAUCCCAGCAACUCUGGAGGCUGAGGCAGGAGGAUUGCAAGUUCAAAACCAGCCUCAGACUGAGUGAGGCCCUAAGCAACUCAGCAAGACCCUGUCCCAA